GCUUAUGUCCAUAUCACGCUGAGAGCACCGGUUCUCGUCCGAUCACCGAAGCUAAUAAACGUCGAGCCUAGUGAGUACUUAGAUGGGUGACUGCUUGUGAAACCUAGGUGCUGUAAGCA
rnacentral:rRNA from 1 species